AAGGUUUCCAUCGUCCACUGUUGCAUCUCCAUCAGUCAGCUCCACUAGUCCGUUGAAAGGUUUCCAUCGUCGUUCCAUCUGUUCUUCUGAAAUGUUGUUCGAACUUCGAAGCUUCUGGGUCGAGGGGCUUUUUAACAGGAGUUUCUUUUUCUUGGUCUUCGUAUGUGAAUGUUUAAAUCUUAAAAACGUUCAAGAAAAUAUUAUUU
rnacentral:lncRNA from 1 species